GUUCGUCUUCAGGGGCAGGGUGAAAUUCCCGACCGGUGGUUAUAGUCCACGAACUACUUUUUUAAGUAGUCGAAUUGGUGAAAUUCCAGUACCGACAGUACAGUCUGGAUAAAGAAGAUAGGG
rnacentral:ncRNA from 1 species